AGAGAGAGAGAGAGAGAGAGCUAAUCUCCCGCGACAGCGAGGUUAGUUUUCGGUGCGAGGUGCGAGGUUAAUUCCCGCCCGUGAGAGAUUGUCCGCUUGAGGCUUGAGGACCAAAAUUACACGUCAGCAAGCUCGGCGGUUCCACGUGCAGAUCCGCAAGUGGCCGCGAACAUGAUCGCGAUUUUUUACCUCCUAAUGUAAGGGAUAUCGCUCGUUAGCAGCUCGUUAGUGCGAUCCUCUUGCAUGGACACCCAUAAAAAUCUUAUUCGUAAACAUGCAGUUACUAAUACUUGCCCUGCAAGUACUCCUUGUGCUCGUCCUUGUGUUCGUCCUUUUGCCAAUUAUAUUGACAAGAUUGAGAAAGGUUUACUCCAAGAGACGCGAGGAGAGACAACAAACUAGAACGGUCCUCGGGAUCUUUCAUCCAUAUUGCAACGCAGGCGGAGGAGGCGAGAGAGUGCUCUGGGCUGCGGUUCAGGCUAUACAGAAUAAGUAUGUGUCAAAGUAACGUUUUUGAGGCCGUCUAAUAUAAUUACAACUUGUGACCUGUCAAACUUGAGAUACAUCUUUGCAUCG